rnacentral:rRNA from 1 species
UACAGAGGUCUCAAGCGUUGUUCGGAUUCAUUGGGCGUAAAGGGUGUGUAGGUGGCGCCGUAAGUCGGGUGUGAAAUUUCGGAGCUUAACUCCGAAACUGCAUUCGAUACUGCCGUGCUUGAGGACUGGAGAGGAGACUGGAAUUUACGGUGUAGCGGUGAAAUGCGUAGAUAUCGUAAGGAAGACCAGUGGCGAAGGCGGGUCUCGUGGACAGUUCCUGACGCUGAGGCACGAAGGCCAGGGGGAGCAAACGGGG